rnacentral:rRNA from 1 species
UGGGGAAUAUUGGACAAUGGGGGCAACCCUGAUCCAGCGAUGCCGCGUGUGUGAAGAAGGCCUUCGGGUUGUAAACCACUUUUGUCAGGGAAGAAACGGCCUAAUCUAAUACAUUGGGUUAAUGACGGUACCUGAAGAAUAAGCACCGGCUAACUACGUGCCAGCAGCCGCGGUAAUACGUAGGGUGCGAGCGUUAAUCGGAAUUACUGGGCGUAAAGCGUGCGCAGGCGGCUUUGCAAGACAGAUGUGAAAUCCCCGGGCUCAACCUGGGAACUGCAUUUGUGACUGCAAGGCUAGAGUACGGUAGAGGGGGGAUGGAAUUCCGCGUGUAGCAGUGAAAUGCGUAGAUAUGCGGAGGAACACCGAUGGCGAAGGCAGCCCCCUGGGCUAACACUGACGCUCAUGCACGAAAGCGUGGGGAGCAAACAGGAUUAGAUACCCCCGUAGUCCCUGAGCGGGCUGGCAAGGCGCAU